UCAGCAGUCCUGGAAUCUGAAAUCCUUUAUUUAUCCAUCUAACAGGAAUAGCACAGACAGCAGCAGCUGGUUCUCCCCAGCACUGCCUCCCAGGAGCCUAACCCAGCCCUGACCUCCGAGGAUGGGUAGAAGAGUGGCUCGACCCACCAGGGUCCCGAGGCUGGGGCUCA
ensembl:misc_RNA